GUCUUUAGAGUGGCUGAUUUCACCAAACAAAUAGGAUACCUAGGAGAGAAUCAUUAUUAUUAUAUUAACAUAAAUAAGUUUGUACAAUGGAGCCUUUAUUACCCAAGAUGCCUGCCGCCGUACCACCCCCCGCCGAAAAUGGCGCGCCGCGCAGCGAGCUAGAACAGCUCCAAUUAAAAGCAGGCCAAGUUACUGAUGAGUCUCUGGAGUCGACGCGCCGUAUGAUGCAGCUAUGCGAGGAGAGUCACGAGGUGGGCAUGAAAACCCUGGUCAUGCUGGAUGAACAGGGCGAGCAAUUGGAUAGAAUCGAGGAGGGCAUGGAUCAGAUAAACGCUGAUAUGCGUGAAGCGGAGAAAAAUCUGUCGGGAAUGGAGAAAUGUUGUGGCAUCUGCGUGCUGCCCUGCAACAAGGGUGCAUCAUUCAAGGAAGACGAUGGGACAUGGAAGGGCAACGAUGACGGCAAAGUGGUGAACAACCAGCCGCAGCGGGUGAUGGACGAGCGUAACGGAAUCGGCCCACAGGCUGGGUACAUUGGCAGGAUAACGAACGACGCGCGCGAGGAUGAAAUGGAGGAGAACAUGGGCCAAGUGAACACGAUGAUCGGCAACCUGCGCAACAUGGCCAUCGACAUGGGCUCCGAGCUCGAGAACCAGAACCGGCAGAUCGAUCGUAUCAACCGCAAGGGUGAAUCGAAUGAAACGAGAAUAAAGGUCGCCAACCAGCGCGCCCACGAGCUCCUCAAGUAAACGGCGGCUGCGACACACAUACACACACACCAGUCUCGUGGUCUCGUCGGUUGCAAACACAACACACUUAUACACUUUACUAUAACGGGAGCAAAACAUGGGUUAUACUUAUAUAUAGCGAAGGCGGGAAUGCGUACGUUGGUGUGCGUGCGCGUACGUAACGUGCACGCACAGUAAUUGACAAUAUUUGGAACAUUUAGAUAAUCCUCGUUUCAAUUUGUAGUAGCGUUUAUAAUAUCGAUUAUUUCAUUCGAGUCUUUAAGCUACUGUUUUGUUUGCAACCGACCAACAAUGCACUGAAGAACCAGUAUUUUGCUUAGUAAUUCUCAUUAUCCGAGUUAUAUUAUCAAUUAUAAUAAUCGUACGAACUUUAUGUAGACAUUUUGACGUUGUAUAGUAUCAUUGUAAUAAAUAAAGGGAAUGAUCAAUAUGAGUGAUCGAGAAAUAACGGAAUUAGCUAAGAUAACGUGAUAUACUUUAUUUGAUAAUUGGAAUUGAAAGGAAUAAUAAUAUUAUUAUCCCUUAAGGGAAAAUUAUUAUAAUGCUUCUCUAUAUUUGAUUAGAAUUGAACCUUGCGUUUCGCGCUAUUUUAUUGAAUGGGCUGAACUUAUUUAUUAUAUCCGGUAUUUGCUUUAUUUGGUAAGAAUACUGUUUAAAUCGAAAAAAGACGUGAAGUUUUGAAUAUUGUAUAAGGAUGUAUUUAUAGCAAAAUCUUUCAGCAACUUGAAAACAAUUGUCUGAUAAUAAUUUAGCCUAAAAUUUUGACCACUACAUAGAAAACUUUCUCAAAACAAAAUACAUAAGGAUAAUAAAUUAGAAGAGGAAUACGUACGUGUAAGCAUUGGUCGAUAUGUGAUAAUAGAAUGAAAAUAAGUAAAUUGAUGUGUAAAAUAAGAUUGAUCUGAAUACAUUCGGAUCUUCGUUUGUAUAUUUCAUAGGAGCACUUAUGUUUCAAUUGUUUUGAAUUAUUUUUAUUAUGUACUUAUAGUGACUGCUAACUCAAUGUCAUUUGUGAGCUAUCUUUGAACUAAAUUUAUCACGACAAUGGUUCAGUAGUUUACUAGAAAUCGUAAUAGCAUACAAACUUUCGCAUUUAUUAUAUCUAUAAAAAGACCCUAUAGUAUUAAAUUUUAGUUCCUCAAAUAUAUAACAGUAUGUUAAAUUAUCUAGACAUAUCUCUUAACAUAUCUGCUUCUAUGAAAUUGAUACAAAAAUUAUUUAGAUUUUCUUUAAAUAUGUGCUUACUAUUUAGUAAAUUAAAUCAAUAUAUUAUCGAUUGAAAAUCUUUAUUUUUUAUUUUUUGUAUAAUUUAGAUUUGUAUUUAUUUUUUAUUUUAUUAUGAGAUUAAUAUGUAAUAUCGGUAUGCUUAUGAAUAUACUUUGAGUAAUAAAAUGCAAGUGUUGUAUAGUGAUUUUCUAUAAUAAUGUUAUUUACCCUCAUAUAUUCACUGUCACAUAUACAAAGUCCCAUUUAGUUAGCUUUUUGUGAAUCAUAAAUGAACACAACCACGAGACAUACAUAUACACAAAACAGAGCAUACGGAGAGCAAUAUUGGUGAGAGUAACGAGACGCGCAUAGCCGUCGCGAACCAGCGAGCCAAUAAGCUGCUAAAAUCUUAAGCACCACACCAUGCGAACGUCUAGGUUUUACAGAAUGACGU